GUCUUGUCUAAAGUCAUUAGCAGCAGUACUAAAGCCGGAGAAGCUGCCAGAAAAGCGGAAAAAGAAAAGUGCCGAAAGUACGAAUAUCUGGUGCCUGAGUACGACUUCGUCCCUUUAGCUUCCGAGACUUUUGGUGUAGUCGGCCGAGCUUGUAUGAAAUUUUUACGUGAGCUAGGAACACGCUUGAAGAAUGCUUCUGGCGAAAGACGAUCGUACGAAUUUUUGAUGCUACGGGUUAUUCUUGGUGCAUUCGUGGACAAAGCCGUGGUGGUGCGCGAGAACGGUAUAUGGCCUUGGACAGAGGAACGGCUGAAUGACUUUCUCGAGUUCACGCAGACAUUCGUCAUCGAGACCUGGAGGUCUUCAGCCGGUUCGUACCGGAUCCUCUAACUUCCAUCAAAGAAAGCUUCCUGAAAGACAAGCUGCAGUCGGACGAGCCCAUUGGAUGGACGUUGCAUGUCGCGCUUUCUCACCAAGAUUGUUCAGCUGCUAGGAGAUGAGGAUAUCGACUCAUCGGCUUCCAUCGGUUCGCUAUGAUUGACCCUGGAUCGCCAUCGCACUUUCCCACGCUGGCUACAGUAUUUGAUGAUCCAGCUACUGAAGGAUCCGUCUAUGGCCAUUUUUCCCAGCGAUCGGGCAAACGAUAUUCUUGUUUUGCCUUUCGAAAUUUGAAGUUUAUCUUGUGCUUUAACCAUUCGCUUCGAGACUGGUCGUCUGUCUCAGUUGUGUUUCAUGCGAUACUUGUUCAGCCAC